rnacentral:rRNA from 1 species
AUUGAACGCUGGCGGCAUGCCUUACACAUGUAAGUCGAACGGUAACAGGUCUUCGGAUGCUGACGAGUGGCGAACGGGUGAGUAAUACAUCGGAACGUGCCUAGUAGUGGGGGAUAACUACUCGAAAGAGUGGCUAAUACUGCAUGAGAUCUACGGAUGAAAGCAGGGGAUCGCAAGACCUUGUGCUACUCGAGCGGCCGAUGGCAGAUUAGGUAGUUGGUGGGAUAAAAGCUUACCAAGCCGACGAUCUGUAGCUGGUCUGAGAGGACGAUCAGCCACACUGGGACUGAGACACGGCCCAGACUCCUACGGGAGGCAGCAGUGGGGAAUUUUGGACAAUGGGCGCAAGCCUGAUCCAGCAAUGCCGCGUGCAGGAUGAAGGCCUUCGGGUUGUAAACUGCUUUUGUACGGAACGAAAAGCCCUGGGUUAAUACCCUGGGGUCAUGACGGUACCGUAAGAAUAAGCACCGGCUAACUACGUGCCAGCCGCCGCUGUAAUAC